AGAGUGCGUAAUAGCUCACUAGUCGAGAGGUCCUGCGCCGAAAAUGUCCGGGGCUGAAACACGACACCGAAGCUUAGGAAUCGCAUAGUGAUUGGUAGAGGAGCAUUCUUAAAACCGACGAAGCUGUACCGGAAGGAGCAGUGGAGGGAUAAGAAGAGAGAAUGCCGGAAUGAGUAGCGAGAGAGAGGUGGGAAUCCUCUCGGCCGAAUAUCCAAGGUUUCCAGGGUAAAGCUGAUCUGCCCUGGGUAAGUCGGGGCCUAAGGAGAGGCAGAAAUGCGUAUCCGAUGGACAGCAGGUUGAGAUUCCUGCACUAUCUUAAAACAGAACUGUGGGGACAUUUGUGGAGAGCACAGGCGCGGAACGGAAAGCCGCGUGCAAGCGAAGGAGGAGUCACAUAGGAAAAACCGUGUGGCAAUCCAAAGGCGUGAUGCGGACCGAACUAAAGUAGGGAAGUGUGUGAGCCAUGAAUCAAGAAAAGCCGCUAUUGUUUUUAAGAUACCCGUACCGUAAACCGACACAGGUGGAUGAGGAGAGAAUCCUAAGGCCGGCGGAAGAAGCAUUGUUAAGGAACUCGGCAAAAUGACCCCGUAACUUCGGGAGAAGGGGUGCCAACGAGAGUUGGCCGCAGAGAAUAGGCUCAAGCAACUGUUUAGCAAAAACACAGGUCUAUGCAAAACCGUAAGGUGAGGUAUAUGGGCUGACGCCUGCCCGGUGCUGGAAGGUUAAGAGGAGAGGUUAGCGCAAGCGAAGCUUUGAAUUUAAGCCCCAGUAAACGGCGGCCGUAACUAUAACGGUCCUAAGGUAGCGAAAUUCCUUGUCGGGUAAGUUCCGACCCGCACGAAAGGCGUAAUGAUUUGAGCGCUGUCUCGACAAUGCAUCCGGUGAAAUUGAAGUACCAGUGAAGAUGCUGGUUACCCGCGCCAGGACGGAAAGACCCCAUGGAGCUUUACUCCAGUUUGGUACUGGGGUCCGGCAGUGCAUGUACAGGAUAGGUGGGAGGCUGUGAACCUGGAACGCCAGUUUCAGGGGAGCCAUUGUUGGGAUACCACCCUUGUGCUGCUGGGCUUCUAACCAGCGGCCUUUAUCAGGCCGGGGGACAAUGCCAGACGGGGAGUUUGACUGGGGCGGUCGCCUCCGAAAGGGUAUCGGAGGCGCCCAAAGGUUCCCUCAGAAUGGACGGAAACCAUUCGAAGAGUGCAAAGGCAGAAGGGAGCUUGACUGCGACACCGACGG
rnacentral:rRNA from 1 species